GAUGAACGCUGGCGGCGUGCCUAAUACAUGCAAGUCGAGCGAACGGACGAGAAGCUUGCUUCUCUGAUGUUAGCGGCGGACGGGUGAGUAACACGUGGAUAACCUACCUAUAAGACUGGGAUAACUUCGGGAAACCGUAGCUAAUACCGGAUAAUAUUUUGAACCGCAUGGUUCAAAAGUGAAAGACGGUCUUGCUGUCACUUAUAGAUGGAUCCGCGCUGCAUUAGCUAGUUGGUAAGGUAACGGCUUACCAAGGCAACGAUGCAUAGCCGACCUGAGAGGGUGAUCGGCCACACUGGAACUGAGACACGGUCCAGACUCCUACGGGAGGCAGCAGUAGGGAAUCUUCCGCAAUGGGCGAAAGCCUGACGGAGCAACGCCGCGUGAGUGAUGAAGGUCUUCGGAUCGUAAAACUCUGUUAUUAGGGAAGGACAUAUGUGUAAGUAACUGUGCACAUCUUGACGGUACCUAAUCAGAAAGCCACGGCUAACUACGU
rnacentral:rRNA from 1 species